UCUGACACCAUUCACUCCAGAGUCCUAGCCAAGGACCUGUACAGACUGCUGCAAGACAGGCUUGGGAUAGCCAGGACGGACAAUUUUCUCCCUUGUGAUUUUCUGAGGGCAUCUGCUCAUUUGGAUUAUUUUCAUUAAAGACUUUUAAUAACAACUAUAAUAGUCGUGAUUCUUAGUCCUGUCUGAUCUAUCAAAGAAAAGGAGCCGCGUUUCGUCUUUGACAUCUUAUUGUGCUGGGCUAAAGUUUGCAGCCUGUUUUUAAAAGGUGAAGGGCAAGUGCAAUGUGCGUCAGGCUUUUUUCUCGGAAUUGUCUCGCUUGCGCGUAAGGAACUAUGUCGAGGUGCAGCACAGGGCUUGUUCAAGAGGACGCAGCCUAAUGUGAAGAACAAGAAUCAACUUCCAGCCUUCUCAGACUUGAAGCAAGUGCAGCACCGCGUCUGAGUGAGCCCGCUAAGCUGCUCUGACACUCUCGUUUCUCACCCCGAGGGGAUGGUUGUGGAUCCUCUGGGGCCAGGAGCGACUCUCGGGCUCCUACACAACAGCACAUUUUUUGUGUUCGGACUUAACUUUAAAUUGAAAGGAGAUGAGACCCGCACUUUGUUACUUCCUGCUGUGGACGACGUACCUGCUGGCCACCGCUGAGGAAGCAGAGUUUCCCCAGGAGCUGAUAGACCGGCUGUCCCACAGUGAAAUCCACAGCAUCAGCGACCUCCAGCGGUUACUGGAGAUUGACUCCGUAGGUACGGGAAAUGAUGUUAUUGAGGAGCACAAGCACCACAAGCACCACUACAAGAACUUCUCUCAUCAUCAUGGUUACUACAAAGAUCUAAAGAGCUCCCAGCUACACAGCCGACGCAAGAGGAGUAUAGUUGAGGAGGCAGUCCCUGCAGUGUGUAAAACACGAACAGUGAUCUAUGAGAUCCCCAGGAGCCAGGUGGAUCCCACGUCUGCCAACUUCCUGAUAUGGCCACCCUGUGUGGAGGUGAAGCGCUGCACAGGUUGCUGCAACACCAGCAACAUGCGGUGUCACCCAUCCCGCAAGCACCACCGCACCGUUAAGGUAGCCAAGGUGGAGUAUGUGAAAAGGAAACCCAAGCUUAAAGAAGUCUUUGUACGAUUAGAAGACCACCUUGAGUGCAUCUGCACAUCACAUCAUGUAGUAGAGCACUCCGAUGCAGAAACAGGCCAUCUAAAAAAGGCUAAAGGUAAAAAAAGGAAAUCUAAAAAGCUAAGGCCCAGCAAGGACUUAUUGGUGACAUAAUAAAGUUGCUCUCAUUACCCCAAGUCCACUGGAGGACUGUGAAGGGAACAGUGGAUGUGAGGUGAGACCAGACAGAACAACGGAGUUCAGCACGGGAGGGACCUAAAACAGAACAUGCUGCCAACAGGAUGCCUGCUCUCUACUCUUUCCCACUGCCAUGCAACCUCUGUUUAAGAAAAUAAACUUUUCUUUUAAGUCAAGAGACUGAAAAAUAGACAACAGACAAAAAUGAGUAAGAUGCCAAAGGUGCUUUUUUUUUUAAAGAACAAUAUCCAGUGAUGAUGACUGCCUCUGUGGUAUGAUAUGUACCCAGUCAACUGAAUUGUGCCGGUGAAUGAGAACUUAAAAGAAGAUGCCAAUGAGCCUAAGCGGGCAGAAAGAGGCCACUGGGUGAUGAUGAAAGGGAUUUGUGUUGAACAUUGUGACAGACUUUGCUUGAAAAGACACAAAACAGAAAUGAGUUGGAUGAUGCUUUCAUGGGAGUCCAACACUCUGAUUCAGCAUAAGUGUCCUGCCCCAUCUAAAUGACUCUUAAAUACACAGGAAGAAAGAGAGAGAGAGAGAGAGCUAUAGGAAUAACAAUGCAAAGAAAAAAGAAAUAGACAGCUGAGGAGUGUUUUUUCAAGACUCUAUCAAGCAUCAAAACAUUGAAUUAUAGGAUGUUUGCUCUGAUUAAAGAGCAAAUCAUCUUCAAGACUCCUGAUUGUCUGAGACUUUCCCCGCCCGCUAUGUACAGUUAAAUUUGAAAAGGAAGAUGCGUCGCUACUUACAAACUAUUUAUAUGUCUGGACAUUUGCUUUUUGUCUCUUUCAAUACAAAAGAAAGAACAAAAAAGUGUUUUAAUGAUUUUCACAGACACGCCAGUGUUCUGUGUGGUCUGGUUAUUUGUAUUCAUCAGUAUCACAAUCUCAGUGUCAUUUUUAUAGUUGUUUUCUUGUCAACCAUGUUUCGUAUUAUAUUACAGUAUAUCUGAUUGAUGUCAAGUCUUGCAUAUGGUGUGGAUAUGUGUGCAAGGUGGUGAUGUGAGAGUCAGUACAGGAAGAUGCUUUAUUUUUGUUAUGAAAUAUAUUAUGCAUACUUAUCUCCAAGCAGGAAUGAUGUUUUUUUUCCUCCUUUGUUGCGAUUGAAUGGCUGUAUUUAAUGUAAUAGGAAAACAUGCAAAAAUGUGGGCAGGUAUAGCAAUAGACAAAGAAUAAAUGGCUGCCACUAUUGUAGCCUGUUUACAUCAUAGCUGUAAAAAGGAAAGAGGACAAGAAGGAUAAAGGGAUAGAACAGCUUAUACAAGGAAACUUUAUAGUUAGUGGUUAAAAACUUAAGCUACAGAGGUGAUAAGUCUUUAUGAAAUUUCAAACAAACAAGCAUAUAUCAGUUUGUGCUAAUCAAUCAUGUCAGGACCCAAAUAAUAGAGCAGUUAUAAUGUAUUUCUAAAUAAGGGGAAUGUAUGUAAACCUUUUGUUUCAUUAUUAUACAACUUAACUAUAAACACUGCACUUCAAAAAUUUUUUAUUGCACAAUAGAUGUCAUUAAAAAGUGAAUCCGCAACUUAAAUUUGCAUAUCCAAAUGUUUGCUUGCAAAUUCAAAACUUCUGGUUUCCAAUCCAACAACUUCAUUUUCCAGAAAGAAACAUAUUGUUUGUGAAACUCAGAAGUUUCGCCAUCCAAUUAAGAGGUUUUUUUUGCUGUAGAGCUGAAGCUUAUGGGUGAGACCUAUAGACACAUUUCUAUUGGUCUGCCCUGAUCUUAGUGAAUAAAAUCUACAUGCACCUGUUCAAACAUCUAAUUAUUGCCAUGAUCUCAUAAUUUACUGCAUGCUCCUUUCAGUUCUAUUUAUAUACAAACUGUGGACGUUGCUAAGCAUUCACUGCUAUCAAGACCAUUAGAUCCUGCACACAAUAUUCAGCUCAACAUCAAGCAGAAUUUCCCAAAAAUCAUUUUGCCUGCAAUAAAACAUCUUUUGAGUGCAGUGUACAAACUUUUUCCAUUGCAACCGUCUUGUGUUACUCCAAAGCCACACAAUCUGUGUGUGUGCCUUCACACAGUCUACUACAAGAGGAUAUUUUUCGACCAUAUCUCUACCACUGAUAAGGAUGAUGCCUGCCCAGUCUGCUUUUUAAGCCUGUAUAUUCUGCUUGCAAAGAGCAAAGUCCAUCUUGAAGAUUGAAUGAGUGAGCAAAGCAAAUCGACAACCGCAUGAAUGGGCUCCUUGUUUAGUCAGGCUUUACUCCCCUGUUGACAGGAGAACAAAUCACUCCACCCUGUGGAGGGACUCAUGCUUUAUGCAGCCACAUACAAUCAGGACAGAUGAUGAUGAGUGCACUGAGGUGGUCUGAAAACAUUACAGCGCUGGCAUGACCCUGCACCUCAGUGGAAUAAACAACUCCUUCCUUCCCAGUUCCUUUAACAGUGAUGAAUGUACAAGCAGGGCAACAUAGUGUGAAAACUACAAUCUUCUUUCACCCUGUGUUGAAAUGAGGAAGUUUGACUGGGAUUAUUCUUAUAAACCAAGAAUAAGUCACUGUGCAAUGUGAAGAGAAUCUAGUGAAAGUCAAGUAAGUUUGACUGAAACAUGGUUGUAUCAGCUUCUGUUGUUUUGUGAACAUUACAUCACAUAGCCACCUUUGAAUUAACUUAGCAUAUGUUGACUGGUGCUAUAAUUAUAGCCUGAUGUUUCACUACUGUAAACAUCCACAUUAUGUCAAUGUAAGUUAGUUGUUUGACUAAAUCAGGGACCACACAUAGGUAUGUGAUUACAAUACAACACAAUGCUAUCACCAAGCCUUUAUUACUUUUUAAAGCUUCUUUUGGGUAAAAACAGCAAUAAUCAUAAUUUAUAUAUUUAUGUUUUCAACAAUAAAUGCAUU